ensembl:lncRNA NR2F1-AS1 NR2F1 antisense RNA 1
AUUCCUAGCGCCAACACGCCCUCAGGUAAAGGUGGAAGUAAAUGGCCACGCUGUAUUGACAGAGGUAGGGUUUGUUUUUUAAUACUCGUUCUCACUUUAAGUCUCACCAGGGAGGGGUUUGGGAAGCACUGCGUGUUUGGGGGACGUUUUGCGCUUCCUGGUCUCUCCAGCCUACAAGUCGGGAGUCGGCGACCGCUUAGUGACGAGCGAUGAUUUUAAAGAGCAGAAUAAAAGGUUUUCCCGUGCCUGCCCCACAGCCCCUCCAGCUCGAAUAAUGGAGAACUGUCAAUGCACUCCGCGAGCGGUGGCCCAUUGUACGCAGCUGAUGGCGAGGAGGCGACUGGGGGUAGCAGGGGCUCCUUGCCCUCGUCCCUAUGCCCAAAUAAACGCGCAAACGCGCUCCCGUCUUCUGGUCAGUUAAAAGGUGAAACGAACACGAUUAAAAUAGACCAAAAGAAAAGAAAGAAAAGAAAACCUUUCUAUGUACAGAUUCUAAAUCGUACUCCCCAUACAGUCAGAGGCAGGGAGUCGAGGGCAGAGGCAGCAGGCGGAGAGAGGGAGAUAGGGCGAGGGAAGGAGAACGCGGAGAGAGACGAAGGGAGUGGGAGACCAGCGACAGCGAGCGCCAGGGCACCGCAGGCACACUGGAUGCCCAGUCCGCCGGCCCAGCCGCCCUCGGACCCUGGACCGUGCGUCGUGGGCACCAGAAACGAGACUCGGCCAAAUCCUGCCUCACCAGCAGGUAGAUGAAACUCAAGAGAAAAGGUGUGGAUAAAUGAAACUAGCCCAUGAUGAACCUGUUUUCUCCGUGACCACAAUAUUAACCAGGAUGAAUGGCGGUGGCAGUGGGCCUGCAUCACAGGUUGCAGCAGAUGUUCUCAAUAUUUCUAUUAAAAUUUCCUUAUUUCCAUAUGCAAGAGGAGCCCCAGAGCUGCAUCCUUAUGGUAGCUACCAUGCCGUGAUGUAAGCUGCCAUUCACUGGGGAGCUUUGGCAAUAGAAUUGGCUAGAUCAGGAAGCCUAUGUCAACUAUGGAACAACAACUUGCAGCUCAUCUCUAUUGAUGAUGGAAUCUCGCUAUGUCACCAGGCUGGAGUGCAGUGGCGCAACCUCGGCUCAGCGCAACAUCCGCCUCCCGGGUUCAAGUGAUUCUCCUACCUCAGCCUCCUGAGUAGCUGGGAUUACAGGAAUCUAAUGACCAUUGAACUGUGGCCAUGACUUCAAUUACAAGUAUUUUCUUCACUAAUGUCAGACUGUGGGCCUUUGUAUAUACACUUUUAACAAACUUUUUGGAAGUGCAAUACAUAUCGCAACAACUUCUCAAUGCUGAAUCAUAGUAUUGGAAGACAUUUUAAGCAACAAUUAAACUCAACUUAUUUACUACCAAUAAUGUACAUAAGUCAGCUGAAGUGAGGAUAACAUGAAUAGCACAAAUACAUUAUGAUUGCUGCCUGGCCAACAGUAAUUAUAAGAAACUGUCAGUUUUGAGAUGUGUCUUGAUUUCAGAGAUGUUAAAAAAGUUUGUAAGUUACCAUUGAUAAAAUAUGAGUUUGCUUCCACAAAUAUUCUUUCUUCUGUCCUUCUGGAACUCAAGAGUAAACAUAUAUUAGAUUUUCUCACCAUUUCAUGCAUGCUGGUUCCUAGGCUACUCUCUGAGUCAUUUUUUUUUUCUUAUCUGCCCUCCAGUUCACUAGUUCUGUCAUUUUCUGGGUCUGAUCUGCUGCAAAUGCAAUACAUUGAGUUUUAAAUUUCAGUCAUUGUGUUUUCAUUUCUAGAAAUUUCAUUUGACUCUUUCUCAAAUUACUUUUCCAUUUUUUUUGUAGUUUCCUAUCCCUGGAGAUAUUUUCAAUCAUGCCAUUUAAUUUUUUAAAUACGCAAGUGUAGUUUUAUAAUUUGUGUCUGAUAAUUCUAAUAUCUGAAGUCUUAGUAGGUCUGUUUCAGUUGUCCUGUAAUUAUGCAUGUUUUUGCCCAUGUUGCUUUGUUUCCUUGUAUGCUUGGUUAUCUUUCUUACUGCCCUUGCAAAAUUAUUUGGAGAGUCCUGGAGGCUUAAAUGAAGAUAACUUUUAGGAAUAAUUUGCAUUUGCUUUUGCCGAGGAUCUUGGGAUCAUUUCAACCAAAAUCUUAGCUUGAAAUUCCGCAAUCAAUCAAGGUGAUGAGAACCUGGUCAGUAAAUCCUAAUGAGGGCCAGGCUGUGGCCAAAGAUUUUUAGACAGAUGUUUCCCUCCUUUGCCAUUUCUCUUUUCUUUCCUCCUCUGCUCCUCUUAGUGUCCAGACAACCUUCAUGGAAGUCCUUGGGGUGGGUGGGAAAUGAGGACGGCAGGUUUCAUUCUAGGUAUAGCCCUUUGAGGUCUAACUUAAUGCAGAGAGAGUUUUCUGGUCUAUGUGCCACCUUACAUGGGAUCUUGAGCCUUGAUUUCUAAACCCCUUGCCUUUGAUGUUUCAGAAUUGAAGCUUAAAUUUGCCAACAGGCAAAUGUCCUCAAGGCAAAUUGGCUUAGGUGUUCGAUAUUCUUCUUACCAGAAAGGUAAACUUGGGUUUUUUACUUCACCCAGGAUUUGGCAUGACAGUUCCCCAUUAUCUUGUCAGCUUAGUGCUUUAAGUGAUUGCAUUUAAAAAAAUUCUGCAUUUUCAGUUUUUAGCAGGAGGAAUGGCCUCAACUAGUGGUUUUCAACUGGGGAUGAUUUUUUUCCCCUAGGGGACAUUUGAUAAUGUUUGGAGAUGUUUUAGUUGUUAGAACUGGGGUUGGGGGAACUACUGUCAUCUGGUGGGGAGAGACCGGCAAUGCUGUUGAUCUUACUAUAAUGCACAGGCCACCCCCAACAACAAACAAAUUACAUAGCCCCAAAUAUCAAUAAUGCCAAGGUCCAAAUAACCUAACCUUCCAUUACUGAAAAUAGAAGUUCAAGAAGAUAGUUUAUAAUUUAAAAAUUUUUAGGUCUUAAUAAGUUGUCAUACUUUCACAGGUUUUAUUUCAUACUAAGUAAUUUAUUUCAAAUUUUACAUUCCAAUUACAGAAAAUUUUCUAAGCCAGUUUUUGUUCUUCAUGAGUAUUACUAUCAAGGUCACAUUUUUCAUCUAGUAUGUUUUACCCUGGUACUUGUUGGCAGGGUCAGGACUAAGGUGAGAUGCGCAAGGCAUUUGCCUCACACAAAAUGCACAAUGAAUAAAAUGUCAAAACUUUAAAUAAAGACAGAAUCACUAAAAGUACUUUGCCAUAUUGGAACCUGAGGCAAAAAGAAAAAUAAGUAAUAAUAUUUAAAAUUUUGAUCUCUUGUUCAUUGUAGAUUUUUACAUUAAUUUUGAUUGUUUAAAACAUUGCAUUAAAAUAUUAUUUAAUGUGUUUGCUGAGUUUUUUUUUGACACCCCCUUAAAUUUGCACCAAUGUGAGUGUCUUGCUUUCCUUAUUUGAUUCCUGCCCUGCUUGUUAUUGAGUCAGUCUGGUUGGGUAGCUCAUACAGGAUGGAGAGGCCAGGGCUGACAAUAGGUUUCAUUUCUCAAGCAGGACAGGUGGAAAGGUUGCUGUCCUAAUAAAGGGGUAGUGGAAGGUUUGAGGGACAAUGGUGCUGAUGUUCAAAUUUUCGAUUAUAUCCAGUUAUACUUUGAGUAAAAACUGUUGUUCAGGGGAUCCAGGGUAAAGUUGCAAAGUCCCCACAGGUAUACCAACCAAGCAGUAAGAAACUGAGUUGGUGAUUCCAAUUUAAGAGAGCAGUCAUAUAGGAAGAAGUCCAUUGAUACAUUUAGGGAGGAGGCAUAGCCACUAGGUUUAAGACCACAGCUAUCAGGAUUAGGGUUAUUGAUUUCCAUUGAGGGAGACUGAAAGACCAUGGCUUAACAUACUGUUGUUCCCAGGAGGAAAAAGUAUAGUGAGAACUCAUUUAUUCUGACUGGAAUACAGGAGAGGCAAAGGAAGCCUCAGAAACUUUAUGGUGGGCCUGCUUAUCACAUGGGAGGAGUGAAGCUUGGGAGACACCAUGGAAACCAAUUGAUUGUAUUUACCAUUCUCACCUCCUUCCAAUUUACCCCUCCUACCUCAAUGUGGUGAAAGACCAAAUGGUAAGAGACACAUGAAGUGUGCUUUAAAGCAGUUGUGUAUUUCUUACCUCAGUCAAAAUUAACUCAAAUACAAGGGUAGGACAGAAUCUGCAGGUAGAAGGUGACACUUAGAGGUGGUUAGGGAAACCUGAGGCAGGAGAAAAGAAAAAGUGAGGGCUAACGUUGGAAAGUGUUUUGAAGCAUUAAUUUUUAAACUGUUAUAAGUAAAAAGUCAUUUUCUUCUAUCAAACCAGUAAUAUGUGUGUCAUCAUAAGCACUCAUGUACUUGCACAGUAGAACGGAGUGACCAUUUUUUUGUAUUGGUGUUCCCAUGCUUUUUCUCCCCCAGAGUCUCUCAAUUUCAGCUGUACCACAAUUUUAUUGUAUUUUCCAGUGGCAAAGUGUACACUUGUGUGUGUUUUUUUGUGUGUGUGUUUUAAAUUUUUUUUGAAGGGAAAAAUUCUUCUUUAUCUUGGCUUGCACAUUUCUAGGAUAUGUUCCUGUUUUAGAUUUUUAGCACAACUCCACUAAAACCAUAACAGGUCACUUUUGAAUUAAGUGUCAAAAAUCAUGUUAAAACUACCUCUAUCUAUUUGCAUUAUAGAGGAAACACUGAAGGCUUCAAAGCAAUUUUUAGUGCUGGAAUGUCAGAAAAGUAAAUGGAUGCUGGCAAGCAGAUAAGAUUCCAUGAGAAUAGCCCCUUGAGCCUAUUGGGUGAAAUACUAGAGCUGCAAAGAAUGAUGGGCUUUGCAAGCAGAGUGAGCUACAGCCCUUGAAAUACAAAGAAAGAAAAGGAAACAGAAACCAGAAACAUCUUUUUGGAGAACAGAUCUCAGGACUACUCUGAAAGAUCUUACUUUUUUUCUUUUUAAACAGGUGACAGACACUCAUCAGACAUAUUCCUUCCAUUCAAAGAGAGUAUUCAACAUUAGUGAUUCUCUAUUUUCUUUUUCAUGACACAUUUAUCCCCAGAUCCCCAAACAACAUCAUUUUUGCAUAUUUAUAAAACCAGUGACAACUGUAGUAUAAAAUUUUUGAAAUGAUACUGGUGAUGAUUUUAAAACAUUGAGAAUAAACUGAUCACAUAGAAAUUUAUUGAGUUAAUCAAGAUCCCUGAGUUGCACUUGUGGUCAUGAGGCAUAUUCUAGGAGCCAAGUGAUUUGCUUUUUUGUUGUACAUGGUAGGCUUAUCUUGGGCUAAUUCACAUAGGUUGUCUUAGUAUCUUGAGACACUGACACUGCUUUAUUUUUUAUUCCUUUCUGUCUCUUAUUUAGUUAAAUUAAAAUUUAAUUGACACAUUAUAAUUAUAUAUGUUUAUGGGGUACAAUAUGAUAUAUUUGUUGUAUAAUCAUCCAAUCAGGUUACUUAGUGUAUCCAUCAUCUCAUACCUUUAUCAUUUCUUUGUGGUGAGAACAGUCAAAGGCCUCUCUUCUUGCUGUUUGUAAUAGAGAAUACCUUAAUGUUAACCAUAGUUACCUUACUGUGUAAUAGAACACAAGAAUUUUUUCCCCUUGUCUAAUUGUAACUUUGCACCCAUUGACCAACCUCUUCCCAUCCUCCAUUCCCUCCUUCCCCUGAUCCCUCUCCAGUCUCUGGUAACCACUGUUCUCUCUGCCUCUAUAAUUUUUUUUGAAGAUUCAGCAUAUGAGUGAGAUCAUGUGGUAUUUGUCUUUCUGUGUCUGGCUUAUUUCACUUAACUUGAUGUCCUCCAGGUUCAUCCAUGUUGUCACAAAUGACAGGAUUUUAUUUUUUUAAUGGACGAUUAGUAUUCCAUUAUGUAUAUAUACCACAUUGUCUUUAUCCAUUCAUCUGUUGUUGAAUACAUAGGUUGAUUCCCUAUCUUGGCUAUUGUUAAGUAGUGCUGGAAUAAACAUGGGAGUGAAAAUGUAUAUAUAUUUUUUUGAUAUGGAGUCUUGCUCUUUCACCCAGGCUGGAGUGCAGAGGCGCAAUCUCAGCUCACUGCAACCUCCACCUCCCAGGUUCAAGCGAUUCUCCUACCUCAGCCUCCUGAGUAGCUGGGAUUACAGGCUCACACCACCACUUCUGCCUAAUUUUUCUAUUUUUUGUAGAGAUGGGUUUCGCCAUGUUGGCCAGGUUGGUCUCGAACUCCUGACCUCAAGUGAUCCGCCUGCCUCGGCCUCCCAAAGUGUUGGUAUUACAGGCAUGAACCACUACGCCUGGCCCAGAUGUCUUUUUGAUAUACUGAUUUGCUUUCCUUUGGAUAUACAGUAAUCCUCCCUUAACAUUGUCUAUAAGUUCUUGGAAACUGACUUUAAGUGAAGUGAUGUAUAACGAAACCAAUUUUUUCAAAGGCUAAUUGAUAGAAACAAGGGGCAGUUCCUAUGGUAUAUUUCUGAUUAUAAAAACAUCACUAAACUUCUAAAGACCCACAUUUCUAAUACUAAACAUUGAAAUAAAUGUGAAUUACAUGUAUAUUUAAGAAAGAUUAAUAAAAACAAGAUAAUUAUUUACUCAUCUUUUUGUGAAUCAGUGAGUGACAGUGGCUGUAGUGGCAAUGCAUUAAAUCAAGGAAUAAAUGUUUGUAAAGAAAAAUUAUAAGAAGUAUUUCCUACAACUGUUAGGUUCAAAAACAAUCACAAAUAUGGUGGGCAUGCUCAACACUUUCGUGCAGCAUUGUUUGUUGUUGUACAUUUGUGUGAUUAUUGUAUAUUUUGUGAAUAUUUAUUUAUUUAAUUAUUAAUUUUUGAAACAGUCUCACUCCCAUCACCCAGGUUGGAGUGCAGUGGCGCAGUUAUGGCUCACUGCAGCCUCAACUUCCUGGGUUCAGGUGAUCCUCCCAUCUGAGCCUCCCGAGCAGUGGGGGACUACAGGCCCAUGCCACCAUGCAUGGCUAAUUUUUUGUAUUUUUAGUAGAGAUGGAGUUUUACUAUAUUGUCCAGGCUGGUCUUGAACUCCUGAGCUCAAGGGAUCUGCCUGCCUCAACCUUCUAAAGUGCUGGGAUUAUAGGUGUGAGCCACUGUGCCCAGCCAUGACUUUUUAAUUUAAAAUAAUUUGUAUUCAUUCAUUCAUUCAUUUUCCAACCCAUUAUGCCAGUUCAGGGUUGUAUGUGGCUGGAGUCCAUCCCUGCAGCUCAGGGCACAAGGAAGGAACUAGCCCUAGACAGGACACCAUACCAUUGCAAGGCUCACUCACACACACCCAUACUCACUCAGGCUGGACUAUGUAUAUAUGCCAAUUCACCUACCAUGCACAUCUUUGAGAUAUGUGGGGAAACUGCAGUACCCAGAGAAAACCCACACAGACAUGAGUAAAAUGUGCAAAUUCCAGACAGACAGUGGCGUAGCUGAGAAUCAAUUUUUUUUCUUAUAUGCCUUAUAAUGAAGGACAUUGAAUGAAAUGUUAUUGGAGUACCUGCUGUAUAUCCAGUAGUGGGAUUGCUGGAUCAUAUGGUAGUUCUAUUUUAAGAUUUUUAAAGAACCACCAUACUCUUUUUUAUAAUGACUACUAAUUUACAAUCCUGUUAACAGUGUGUUUCUUUUCUUCCACAUCCUUGCCAAUACUAGUUUUCUUUUGUCUUUUUGAAAAUAGUCAUUCUAACUGAAGUGAGGUGGUAUCUCAUAGUGGUUUUGAUAUGCAUUUCCCUACUGAUUAGUGAUAUUGAGCAUUUUUUCAUAUACCUAUUGACCAUUUGUAUGUUGUCUUUUGAGAAAUGUCUAUUAAGGUCUUUUGCCCAUUUUAAAAUUGAGUUUUUUGUUGUUGUUAAGUUCCUUAUAUAUUCUGGAUAUUAACCCCUUGUCAGAGGUACAAUAUGCAAAUAUUUUCUCCUAUUCUGUAGGAGAAUAGGAGAAUAUUUGUUUCUUCACUCUGUUAAUUGUUUCCUUUGCUGUGUAAAAGCAUCUUAGUUUGAUGUAAUCUCAUUUGUGUAUUUUUGCUUUUGUUGCCUAUAUGUUUAAGGUCUUAUUUAAAAAAUUCCUGUCCAGCCCAAUGCCAUAAGCAUCUCCCCUAUAUUUUCUUCUAAUAAUUUCAUGGUUUGGAUUUUAUAGUUAAGUCUAAUCCAUUUUGAGCUGAUUUUUGUACAUGAUGAGUGUAUUAGUCCAUUUUCACACUGUUGAUAAAGAAAUACCUG